CUCCAGUUCCUGUAGUGAAACAUGGAAAAGAUUGCAAGUAUGGUGCUUCUGCUAGAGGUAGAGCUUCUAGUCCUGCAGUCUUUCAGGCCUCCUUAAUAUCUAUCAUCAAAAAAAUAACGGUAUGCAAGGAGUUUGACAUGAGAAUAGUCUGAGGACUCUGCCUUCCACUGCAGAUAUUGAAAGCUGG
rnacentral:lncRNA from 1 species